GAUGAACGCUGGCGGCGUGCCUAAUACAUGCAAGUCGAGCGAACAGACGAGGAGCUUGCUCCUCUGACGUUAGCGGCGGACGGGUGAGUAACACGUGGAUAACCUACCUAUAAGACUGGGAUAACUUCGGGAAACCGGAGCUAAUACCGGAUAAUAUAUUGAACCGCAUGGUUCAAUAGUGAAAGACGGUUUUGCUGUCACUUAUAGAUGGAUCCGCGCCGCAUUAGCUAGUUGGUAAGGUAACGGCUUACCAAGGCAACGAUGCGUAGCCGACCUGAGGGGGGGUACGGCCCACCAGGAACGGGACCACGGCCCAGGCCCUGAGGGGGGGCCGAGGGAGGGAAGCUCCCGAAAGGGGGGAAAGCUUGCGGGAGCAACGCAGGGGGGGUGAAGAAGUGCUUCGGGUGGGAAAACUUUUUUUUUGGGGAAAAACAAAUGUGAAAGUAACUAGGCGCGUUUGAAGGUAACCUAAAAAGAAACCCCCGCUAAAUUCGGG
rnacentral:rRNA from 1 species